rnacentral:ncRNA from 2 species
AUUUGCCACAUGGGGUGCCGGCGUAACCGGCUGAGAAAAAGGUGUUGCCUUUUAACCCAUCGAACCUGUUAGGUUAGUACCUGCGUAGGGAUGUGGUCAUCUGCCAUG